AGCGCGACAGCUAACGAAGUGCGUCGUAAAUAGACACGCAGACGAAAGCCGCCAUUUCGAGUCGAAUACACAGAGUAUCCUGUAAUGAAUGCCUCCCGGACGUGGUGGAUGCUAAAGACCUGGCAUCGAUGCAUUUACGAGCAGCCUUUGUACGAGCUCCUCCUCCCGCUCGAGCACAGUCGCUGUCUAUGGUUAACAAGAAUCGGUGAAGCACCCUUUGCCGGUAUACAGCGUGGAAGAAAUUAGACGAAGCGAAGUGUCGUAAGGAACGAACACUCAUCGAGGUUGUUAGUUCAUUGACAACGCCACGUGUAAAUGUUUGCUUGCUGUCGCAAGCUAGGAAUAAAUUACAGCUACGAGCGUGCCUUUGCAGUCGUCGAGCGCAUACUAAACCAUUUUCUCAACAUGAUUUGCAUCCGUCGUUUCAGCUACGAAUCUAACGUCCUUUCGUAGAAUCGCGAUCUUGUCACCGGUAUUUUCGUACGUUUAGCAGAAGUUUAUAUUUGUAUCGAGAUCCGACUGUGAUUUCAAUCGACAUGGAAUAGAAACUACGUUCGGUGCAUGUACAGCGACGAUGAAAUUUCAAGGUGAUUUGCAAAGCGGGAAAAUGGCAAACGCUUGAAUGAAACUAGAAACGUGGAUAGGAGGGUAGAGGGGGGAGGGAGGGUGGUGAAAGCGAGGCUGCAGUUACUGACCUACCUCGAGUCACG
rnacentral:misc_RNA from 1 species